UACGUAGGGACCGAGCGUUAUCCGGAAUCAUUGGGCGUAAAGAGCGUGUAGGCGGCUCGCUAAGUCUUGCGUGAAAUCUCGGGGCUCAACCCCGAGCGGUCGUGAGAAACUGGCGGGCUAGAGUGCGGGAGAGGAGAGUGGAAUUCCUGGUGUAGCGGUGAAAUGCGCAGAUAUCAGGAAGAACACCCGUGGCGAAGGCGGCUCUCUGGAACGCAACUGACGCUGAGACGCGAAAGCGUGGGGAGCAAACAGG
rnacentral:rRNA from 1 species